rnacentral:rRNA from 1 species
UGGGGAAUCUUGCGCAAUGGGCGAAAGCCUGACGCAGCCAUGCCGCGUGAAUGAUGAAGGUCUUAGGAUUGUAAAAUUCUUUCACCGGGGACGAUAAUGACGGUACCCGGAGAAGAAGCCCCGGCUAACUUCGUGCCAGCAGCCGCGGUAAUACGAAGGGGGCUAGCGUUGCUCGGAAUUACUGGGCGUAAAGGGAGCGUAGGCGGACAUUUAAGUCAGGGGUGAAAUCCCGGGGCUCAACCUCGGAACCGCCUUUGAUACUGGGUGUCUUGAGUGUGAUAGAGGUAUGUGGAACUCCGAGUGUAGAGGUGAAAUUCGUAGAUAUUCGGAAGAACACCAGUGGCGAAGGCGACAUACUGGAUCAUUACUGACGCUGAGGCUCGAAAGCGUGGGGAGCAAACAGGAUUAGAUACCCUGGUAGUCCACGCCGUAAACGAUGAUUGCUAGUUGUCGGGGUGUUUACACCUCGGUGACGCAGCUAACGCAUUAAGCAAUCCGCCUGGGGAGUACGGUCGCAAGAUUAAAAACUUAAAUGAAUUGAC